AAUUUUGGACAAUGGGGGAAACCCUGCUUCAGCGACGCCGCGUGAGUGAAGAAGGCCUUCGGGUCGUAAAGCUCUGUCUUAUGGGAUGAAACGGACGGUACCUUAGGAGGAAGCCCCGGCUAACUACGUGCCAGCAGCCGCGGUAAUACGUAGGGGGCGAGCGUUAUCCGGAACUAUUGGGCGUAAAGGGUGCGUAGGCGGCCUUUUAAGUCAGAUGUGAAAGGCUACGGCUUAACCGUAGUUAGCAUUUGAAACUAAAAGGCUUGAGUGCAGGAGAGGAGAGUGGAAUUCCUAGUGUAGCGGUGAAAUGCGUAGAUAUUAGGAGGAACACCAGUGGCGAAGGAGACUACCUGGACUGAUACUGACACUGAGGUGCGAAAGCGUGGGGAGCAAACA
rnacentral:rRNA from 1 species